GACGAACGCUGGCGGCGUGCCUAAUACAUGCAAGUCGUACGCUUCUUUUUCCACCGGAGCUUGCUCCACCGGAAAAAGAAGAGUGGCGAACGGGUGAGUAACACGUGGGUAACCUGCCCAUCAGAAGGGGAUAACACUUGGAAACAGGUGCUAAUACCGUAUAACAAUCGAAACCGCAUGGUUUUGAUUUGAAAGGCGCUUUCGGGUGUCGCUGAUGGAUGGACCCGCGGUGCAUUAGCUAGUUGGUGAGGUAACGGCUCACCAAGGCCACGAUGCAUAGCCGACCUGAGAGGGUGAUCGGCCACAUUGGGACUGAGACACGGCCCAAACUCCUACGGGAGGCAGCAGUAGGGAAUCUUCGGCAAUGGACGAAAGUCUGACCGAGCAACGCCGCGUGAGUGAAGAAGGUUUUCGGAUCGUAAAACUCUGUUGUUAGAGAAGAACAAGGAUGAGAGUAACUGUUCAUCCCUUGACGGUAUCUAACCAGAA
rnacentral:rRNA from 1 species